AGCUCGACCUCUAGCCCAAGCAAAACAAACUACAACUGAGUUAGCCAAGCGCCAGUUAACAAAACCACUCUCCACACUAAACUAAAACAUUACCCUCAAACCUAGUAUAGGUGAUAGAAAAGAUAAACCAAACUUGACGCUAUAGAGACUUGUACCGCAAGGGACCGAUGAAAUAACAAUGAAAACCAAAGCAAUAAACAGCAAAGAUUAACUCUUGUACCUUUUGCAUCAUGAUCUAGCAAGACCAACCAAGCAAAACGCAUUUAAGCUUGUCCCCCCGAAACCUGAGCGAGCUACUUGUAAGCAGCUAUUUAUGAGCGCACCCGUCUCUGUGGAAAAAGAGUGGGACGACUUACUAGUAGAGGUGAAAAGCCAACCGAGCCAGGUGAUAGCUGGUUGUCCGUGAAACGAAUUUAAGUUCCCCCUUGACUACCCCUCACCCUAGGACAAGCAGACACUUACCAAACCCUAAUGCAGUAAGUCAAGAGCAAUUUAAAGGAGGUACAGCUCCUUUAAAAAAGAACACAACCUUCCCCAGCGGAUAAUCUUUUCCUACCAACAUACUGUGGGCCUUCAAGCAGCCACCAGCAAAGAAUGCGUCAAAGCUCCUUAACUUAAAAAUACUAAAACAAUGAAAUUCCCUCAUCAUCAACGGACUAACCUAUCACAAUAGGAGCACUAAUGCUAGAAUGAGUAACUUAGGAGUCAUCCUCAUACAGGCGUAAACUUACACUAGCAGCAAUUAACAGUCUCCCCGAUACCUCAACUUCAACUAGAACAGAGUAUCCGACCCACACUGUUAACCCGACUCAGGAACGCCCAUCAGAAAGACUAAAGUCUGCAAAAGGAACUAAGCAAACACCAGGCCCGACUGUUUACCAAAAACAUAGCCUUUAGCAAUUAAACCAAGUAUUAAAGGUGAUGCCUGCCCAGUGAUGUUGCACAUUCAACGGCCGCGGUACCCUAACCGUGCGAAGGUAGCGCAAUCAAUUGUCCCAUAAAUCGAGACUUGUAUGAAUGGCUAAACGAGGUCUAAACUGUCUCUUGCAGAUACUCAGUGAAAUUGAUCUUCCUGUGCAAAAGCAGGAAUAAUCCCAUAAGACGAGAAGACCCUGUGGAACUUAAAAAUCAACAGUCACCUUAUACCCAACACCAACCCAUCACGGGCUCACUACCAAAUAAGCACUGACAUGUAUUUUUCGGUUGGGGCGACCAUGGAGUAAAACACACCCUCCAUAAAUAAGACCACACCUCUUAACUAAGAACAACACAUCAACGUACAAACAGUGACCUGACCCAAUAUAAUUGAGCAAUGAACCAAGCUACCCCAGGGAUAACAGCGCAAUCCCCCUCAAGAGCUCUUAUCGACAGGGGGGUUUACGACCUCGAUGUUGGAUCAGGACAUCCUAAUGGUGCAGACGCUAUUAAGGGUUCGUUUGUUCAACGAUUAACAGUCCUACGUGAUCUGAGUUCAGACCGGAGCAAUCCAGGUCGGUUUCUAUCUAUGAUCCCGCUUUUCCUAGUACGAAAGGACCGGAAAAACAAGGCCAAUGCCCCAAGUAAGCCUUCCCAAUAAGUAAUGAACUAAACUAAAUUACGAAAAUGGAACCGCCAUAGACACUCCUAGAAAAGGAUA
rnacentral:rRNA from 1 species